rnacentral:rRNA from 1 species
AUUGAACGCUGGCGGCAGGCCUAACACAUGCACGUCGAACGAGUGGCGGACGGGUGAGUAAUGUCUGGGAAACUGCCCGCUGGAGGGGGAUAACUACUGGAAACGGUAGCUAAUACCGCAUACCAUCGGAUGUGCCCAGAUGGGAUUAGCGUGUAGGUGAGGUAACGGCUAACCUAGGCGACGAGCCCUAGCUGGGCUGGGAGGGUGACCAGCAACACUGGAACUGAGACACGGUCCAGACUCCGAAGGGAGGCAGAAGUGGGGAAUAUUGCACAAGGGGCGCAAGCCUGAUGCAGCCAUGCCGCGUGUAUGAAGAAGGCCUUCGGGUUGUAAAGUACUGUCAGCGGGGAGGCGUUACCCGCAGAAGACGCACCGGCUAACUCCGUGCCAGCAGCCGCGGUAAUAC